rnacentral:rRNA from 1 species
AUGUUCAAGCUCUGCAACUUGAAGCCAGCUUUGCCAACCACCUUUCCUGUGCCGGAUUUUAGCGACCAAGAUAUGUGUGAGAAGAUCAACUUUGCCAUUGACAAGAGCCUGUUCUUAUCAAGUGAUGCUGAAAAGAAUCAAAUUGACAUGGAGGAAGCAGGAAAGGACCUAAGCUCCAGCCAGAGCAAGGCAGCAUCCAUGGCAAACCCUCACGUGGUCCAGAAGCAUAAAGCAGUUUCAAUGAAGAAGAAUCUGCAGUUGCCUCAAACCAAGGAGAAGAUGGUGAGUGCGGAUGCUGAAGUAAAUAUGGUCAAGGAAGCUGUGCUUCAAACUGAAAUGCCAACUGUAGUGAGCAGAGAGCCAACCACCAUCAUAGGAGUUCAACAGAUCAAGGGGAAGACUCCCCUUUCAACAGUCCCACCAAAACCACCUAAGCAGCAAAAGAUUGUCAAGUUUGCCAGGGGCACAAAGGGGGAACAGGCCACAAAAGGUUCGGGGUUCAGGGACGAGAGAGAACUGCGAGCCGCAGCCAUUGAUGCAGGGGUGCCAAGUUCUGCUAGGUUGCUGCCAACUCAGACUAGAAAGAUGCCAACUACAGAUACCAGUGUGCCAACUGAUGUGUCAGUUAGCAGCGUGGUCACAGUCAAAACCACCAAAGCUGCUCAGGAAGGCACCACUGCAACUGCAAGCCCCAAGGUGCCUACUCAUAGAGAUGCUUCAAUGCCAAACACAAAAGGAGGUGAUCCUACUACCAAAUUGCCAUCCCCAAGAGCUAGCACACAGCAGCCAAGCAAGCCUGCAUCACCAAGAGCUGACUUUCAGCAACCAUUAACACAAGAGGAGGUGUUCAACAUUAUAAGUAGGUGCAAGCCUCCAAGUCCGCCAACUACAACACUAUUGCGAACCAAGUCAGUGAACGAUGCACCCGUGUUUGUGCCGCAAGGAGAUGCGCUGGUCCUUGAACCCAUACGAAGAUCAAAGUCUUAUCAUGGUGACGGGUUCUGCGAUGCACCAUCUUUUGACCUCGGCAUAGAUGGUGAUGCUCCAGCACCUGCUCCAGCAGCAGAAAUAGCGGAAGCCGGUGUGAUUUGUAUUGAUGAGUGUGAGUUGGACCCAGCAGCUGUGAAUGAAGAAUGCGCUGCUGCUGAUGCUGGCAAGGCAAUAGCUCAAGAGCUAGAUGUUGGAUCACCAGAGAAUUGCCACACCCCGAUAUGCGCAGAACCAGAAGCUGGCACGAGCAGUUCUUCGGGACCACCUAUUGCACGAAGACAGAGGAGGGUAAUAAGGCCCGCAGCAUCUCAAAGGUCUCCAUUCAUUGACUACAACAAGAAGAAGACUUUCAGCUCCAAUGAGGCAGUGAACAAGCUUUACGCUGCCCUCUUGUAUUGGGUCAGGCAUCACGAAGGAGCAAAUGAUGAAGCUACCAGCCCUGAGAUAAUCAGCUAUGGUGCUUUCUACAUUUCUUUAAAGGAGUUAGUUGAUUCGAUGAAGCCGGUUCAAUGGCUGUCAAAAAUUGUUAUUGAGACUGGAAUCUUACACAUCAUGGAUAACUUACCAGAAGGGUCAAAGAAGGUUGUUAUGCCACUGAGGUUUUCUAUGAAUUUACAGCAAGGGAUCCACAACGUGAAUGAGAUAAACAAGAAGUUUGAUUACAAGAACUGUCUCGACAAGAAAGACUUGGUCAUGCUGCCAGUGCUCGAGUGCGCUGAGGUAACCGAUAAGGAGGGAGGGAGGCAUUAUUGGGUCUUCAAUGUCAACUUGAGGGACGGACGCUUUGAAGUUCUUGACUCAAACAGGACGCUGGACAACAUUGAGCUGAUGACCACCGCCUCUACCAUCGCGGGGGCAGUACGCCAGCUAUGGAGGAAGCAUUAUCCAAAGUUCAGCAUCGAGCACUUCCAGAUUAUUGACAUUGACGUACCGAAGCAGCUCGGCAAUAAUGAGUGUGGGCUGUUCGCACUGCUUAACGCCACCGAGUGGAACGGUAGCCAACUGCCCAACUACGAACCCAAGGAAGUACUCAACAUCAGGAAGAAGCUGGCAUAUGAUUGGGUCACCAGCGCGCACAACACCGCCCCAUGGAGGAAGUUGCUGAGAUACGACAAGGACUAG